AGACAAAAACAUUUAUUCCCAUUGGAAAGCACUGGGCCAAUGGCAGUGGCACCCCGUGAACCUGAAUCCUUCUCCCAAUUCCUCUUCACGGGUCCCUAACAUGUGGUUCUUAUCUUCACCCUCUCUCUAUUUAUAAUAACAUAUGACACAGCUACAUCGCCACCACUACUACCUAUUAACACUAAAUACAAUCAACAAGUGCAGAUAUAGAGAUGAUGGAGAAAGGUGCCGGGAGGUGGGUGGUGGUGACGAUGGUGGUGAUGGCUGCUGCCAUUUUUGAAGGCACGAGGUCGUUGAGUUUGUGUGACAUGAGUGACGAUGGUUUAUUGGCAUGCAAGCCGUCGGUGACAAAGCCAAAUCCGGUAGAUCCACCGUCGGAAGAAUGUUGUAAGGCGCUUACUGGGGCCAAUUUGACUUGUCUAUGUUCAUAUAGAAAUUCGCUGGUGUUGCCUGCUCUUGGAAUUGAUCCUGAUCUUGCAUUGGCCUUGCCUGCCAAAUGCAAUCUCACCACUCCAGCCGAUUGCUAAUUGCUAAGGUACAAAGUAUAUUGGUAGAACGUGGGCUUGAAAAGAUAGGAUCUCUAUGGAGCGCCCUUCUUCUUCAGCUGUGGAAGUGUUCGUUGAAGUGGCAUUUACAUAAUUUGUAUGUUCGUGUUUGCUGGAAAUUGAAACCGUUUUCAGUUGUUUGAAACGUAUUUGGGAAAGUAAUCAUGAAUCUUAGUAUGAA